rnacentral:rRNA from 1 species
ACACAUGCAAGUCGAACGCCCCGCAAGGGGAGUGGCAGACGGGUGAGUAACGCGUGGGAACAUACCCUUUCCUGCGGAAUAGCUCCGGGAAACUGGAAUUAAUACCGCAUACGCCCUACGGGGGAAAGAUUUAUCGGGGAAGGAUUGGCCCGCGUUGGAUUAGCUAGUUGGUGGGGUAAAGGCCUACCAAGGCGACGAUCCAUAGCUGGUCUGAGAGGAUGAUCAGCCACAUUGGGACUGAGACACGGCCCAAACUCCUACGGGAGGCAGCAGUGGGGAAUAUUGGACAAUGGGCGCAAGCCUGAUCCAGCCAUGCCGCGUGAGUGAUGAAGGCCUUAGGGUUGUAAAGCUCUUUCACCGGAGAAGAUAAUGACGGUAUCCGGAGAAGAAGCCCCGGCUAACUUCGUGCCAGCAGCCGCGGUAAUACGAAGGGGGCUAGCGUUGUUCGGAAUUACUGGGCGUAAAGCGCACGUAGGCGGAUAUUUAAGUCAGGGGUGAAAUCCCAGAGCUCAACUCUGGAACUGCCUUUGAUACUGGGUAUCUUGAGUAUGGAAGAGGUAAGUGGAAUUCCGAGUGUAGAGGUGAAAUUCGUAGAUAUUC